GAUGAACGCUGGCGGCGUGCCUAAUACAUGCAAGUCGAGCGAACAGACGAGGAGCUUGCUCCUCUGACGUUAGCGGCGGACGGGUGAGUAACACGUGGAUAACCUACCUAUAAGACUGGGAUAACUUCGGGAAACCGGAGCUAAUACCGGAUAAUAUAUUGAACCGCAUGGUUCAAUAGUGAAAGACGGUUUUGCUGUCACUUAUAGAUGGAUCCGCGCCGCAUUAGCUAGUUGGUAAGGUAACGGCUUACCAAGGCAACGAUGCGUAGCCGACCUGAGAGGGUGAUCGGCCACACUGGAACUGAGACAAGGUCCAGACUCCUACGGGAGGCAGCAGUAGGGAAUCUUCCGCAAUGGGAGAAAGCCUGACGGAGCAACGCCGCGUGAGUGAUGAAGGUCUUCGGAUCGUAAAACUCUGUUAUUAGGGAAGAACAAAUGUGUAAGUAACUAUGCACGUCUUGAAGGUACCUAAUCAGAAAGCCACGGCUAACUACGUG
rnacentral:rRNA from 1 species